CGAUGGAAAAACUCCGCAACGGUUAGUUUUCAGCUCAUUUUGGCUACAUCUAAUGCCCAUUUAACGUGCUCUAAUGGCUCUAUUUCAGCCCAGAUUACUCUCCACCAUCAUUUAAAGUUAUAAAAGGUACUUAAAGGAGGAAAUCAACAAGGUUUUAGAAAAGGUUCUUCAAGCAUUCAUUUCAACCCUAAGCAAGAGCCCUCUUAAAAGUUCAAGAAGCUUUUAUUUCAAGUUCACCAAC
rnacentral:lncRNA from 1 species